rnacentral:rRNA from 1 species
GACGAACGCUGGCGGCGUGCUUAACACAUGCAAGUCGAACGAAGAGCGACGGAAGCUUGCUUCUAUCAAUCUUAGUGGCGAACGGGUGAGUAACGCGUAAUCAACCUGCCCUUCAGAGGGGGACAACAGUUGGAAACGACUGCUAAUACCGCAUACGAUCUAAUCUCGGCAUCGAGGAUAGAUGAAAGGUGGCCUCUACAUGUAAGCUAUCACUGAAGGAGGGGAUUGCGUCUGAUUAGCUAGUUGGAGGGGUAAUGGCCCACCAAGGCGAUGAUCAGUAGCCGGUCUGAGAGGAUGAACGGCCACAUUGGGACUGAGACACGGCCCAGACUCCUACGGGAGGCAGCAGUGGGGAAUCUUCCGCAAUGGACGAAAGUCUAACGGAGCAACGCCGCGUGAGUGAUGACGGCCUUCGGGUUGUAAAGCUCUGUUAAUCGGGACGAAAGGCCUUCUUGCGAAUAGUUAGGAGGAUGA